rfam:Paenibacillus sp. FSL H7-0331 NODE_45_length_59443_cov_1.76967_ID_12185, whole genome shotgun sequence.
AUAAUCGAAUAUGACUUACCGUAGACAGCAGGUGCUCGUUUAGAGCUUAAUGUCCUGCCGAGGUGUUAUGAUAUAGAAUCGGGUUUCUUUGUUCGACCAAAGAUAACGUGAAUCAUCAUGCCUUCGCAGCGUCUGCGGAGGCAUCUUUACUUUUACGG